CACGUAGGGUGCGAGCGUUGUCCGGAAUUAUUGGGCGUAAAGAGCUCGUAGGCGGUGUGUCGCGUCGGCCGUGAAAACCUGCAGCUUAACUGUGGGCUUGCGGUCGAUACGGGGCAUCACUGGAGUUCGGCAGGGGAGACUGGAAUUCCUGGUGUAGCGGUGAAAUGCGCAGAUAUCAGGAGGAACACCGGUGGCGAAGGCGGGUCUCUGGGCAGUUACUGACGUGAGGAGCGAAAGCGUGGGGAGCGAACAGG
rnacentral:rRNA from 1 species